AUUGAACGCUGGCGGCAGGCCUAACACAUGCAAGUCGAGCGAGCGGCGGACGGGUGAGUAAUGUAUGGGUAAUGCCCGAUAGAGGGCGCUAACUACUGGAAACAGUGGCUAAUACCGCAUACUGUCGGAUGACCCAUAUGGGAUUAGCUAGUAGGUAAGGUAAGGGCUAACCUAGGCGACGAUCGCUAGCUGGUCUGCGAGGAUAAUCAGCAACACUGGAACUGAGAAACGGCCCAGACUCCUACGGAGGCAGCAGGGGGGAAUAUUGCACAUGGGGCGAAAGCCUGAUGCAGCCAUGCCGCGUGUAUGAAGAAGGCCCUAGGGUUGUAAAGUACUUUCAGUCGGGAGGCGUUACCGACAGAAGAAGCACCGGCUAACUCCGUGCCAGCAGCCGCGGUAAUAC
rnacentral:rRNA from 1 species